ensembl:lncRNA
GGGGUGGCGAUUACCAAACAUGUACGAUUCAGUCUAUUAAUAUACUUUCUAAAUCUAAUACAUUAUUCAGAAAUGAGCUUCGCAGCUGGUUUGACCAAAGAGGAUUUGGAUUCUGCGGGCUGGUUUGUUGCUAAAUAAACCUGGUAACAAGAUAUGAAACACUCACUGCUUGUUGCCAUUUGUACGCGACAUUUUAUACUACGGACUACCUAACUGAGCCCGGGGUGAUUAAAGGUCCACAAGGAACAAAAUCCCCACCAGGAACUCUUAAUAGACACCCAUGUCAUCCAUAACACUUGGUUUACGGUGAAGAUGCUCUACAUGAUUCAGAACUACUGAGCUUAUGCAAUCU